UACGUAGGUCCCGAGCGUUAUCCGGAUUUAUUGGGCGUAAAGCGAGCGCAGGCGGUUGGAUAAGUCUGAAGUUAAAGGCUGUGGCUCAACCAUAGUAUGCUUUGGAAACUGUUCAACUUGAGUGCAGAAGGGGAGAGUGGAAUUCCAUGUGUGGCGGUGGAAUGCGUAGAUAUAUGGAGGAACACCGGUGGCGAAAGCGGCUCUCUGGUCUGUAACUGACGCUGAGGCUCGAAAGCGUGGGUAGCGAACAGG
rnacentral:rRNA from 1 species